ensembl:lncRNA
CUCAACCAAUGCUGUGAGUUUGGGCAGGACUAUCUGUUUGAGCAACCAAUGGCAGAUGGGAAGAGUGUGAACCUAUCAUUACUGUAUGUUGCUGCGGAAGUUACACACUUAACCCUAAUCACUCAUGUGGACUGAAGUUUUUAACUGCAGUCAUAAAAAUCCGUCUCAACCCUUACCUGAUCUGAAAAAUCAGAAAGAUCUGGAGACAGAGGAAGAAAAUGGUGCAAAAUUCAUAAUCUCAUUCAAGAUCUCUGAGUGAAGUUGCUGAAAUGUGACAGUUUAUGUGUUGACUCAAUGGGGCGGCAACAGUGGAGAUGAGAGCAGAUCUGUGUUUAGAGAGCUGAAGAUUACAGCACUCAGUGAAAGGGCAUGAAUACUGACACCCACAAUGUUUUGAUGGGAACAGUAAAUCCCUCAGCGGUGCCUCACCCGAGAAUCAAACAGGCAAGAUGCCAGUUCCCAACAGCGGGCACAUGGGAACACAUCUGAAGCUUGAAUUGCUGACAGCCGACCACACCUUCAUUUGUGAAGGACAUUGUCCUUCAAGAGCCAUUAGCCUCGAGGAGGAGAAAGACAAUGGCUGUGACAGCGCACU